rnacentral:lncRNA from 1 species
CAUUCUAAUAACAAAAGUUGUUCGGUAUUCUUUUUAGAAAAGAAGUACCUUAAUGAAAGAACUGAUGCCUUUAAUGUGGAACUUAUGAAGUUUGAUAGGUAGAAGAACUAACACAAUCUAGUGAAUCCAUAAAAUGAAAUUUGACUAGAUCAAACUUGGAACCUAUUGUAAAGGCACCAUUAAGGAGAUCCGAUAAAGUACCGCAUC